rnacentral:rRNA from 1 species
UACAGAGGUCUCAAGCGUUGUUCGGAUUCAUUGGGCGUAAAGGGUGCGUAGGCGGCGCGGUAAGUCGGGUGUGAAAUCUCGGAGCUUAACUCCGAAACUGCAUUCGAUACUGCCGUGCUUGAGGACUGGAGAGGAGACUGGAAUUUACGGUGUAGCGGUGAAAUGCGUAGAUAUCGUAAGGAAGACCAGUGGCGAAGGCGGGUCUCUGGGCCGUAACUGACGCUGAGGAGCGAAAGCGUGGGAGCGAACAGG